UACGUAGGGUGCGAGCGUUAAUCGGAAUUACUGGGCGUAAAGGGCGCGUAGGCGGCAUGACAAGUCACUUGUGAAAUCUCCGGGCUUAACUCGGAACGGUCAAGUGAUACUGUCGCGCUAGAGUGCGGAAGGGGCAAUCAGAAUUCUUGGUGUAGCGGUGAAAUGCGUAGAUAUCAAGAGGAAUACCUGAGGUGAAGACGGGUUGCUAGGCCGACACUGACGCUGAAGCGCGAAAGCCAGGGGAGCAAACGGG
rnacentral:rRNA from 1 species